UUCCGGUUGAUCCUGCCGGACCCGACUGCUAUCAGAGUAGGACUAAGCCAUGCGAGUUAACGUAGCAAUACGUGGCAUACGGCUCAGUAACACGUAGUCAACAUGCCCAGGGGACGUGGAUAACCUCGGGAAACUGAGGAUAAACCGCGAUAGGUCAUCACUUCUGGAAUGGGUAAUGACUUAAAUCUAUAUGGCCCCUGGAUUGGACUGCGGCCGAUCAGGCUGUUGGUGAGGUAAUGGCCCACCAAACCUGUAACCGGUACGGGCUCUGAGAGGAGAAGCCCGGAGAUGGGCACUGAGACAAGGGCCCAGGCCCUAUGGGGCGCAGCAGGCGCGAAACCUCUGCAAUAGGCGAAAGCUUGACAGGGUUACUCUGAGUGGUUUCCGUUAAGGAGAUCUUUUGGCACCUCUAAAAAUGGUGCAGAAUAAGGGGUGGGCAAGUCUGGUGUCAGCCGCCGCGGUAAUACCAGCACCCCGAGUGGUCGGGACGAUUAUUGGGCCUAAAGCAUCCGUAGCCGGUCCCACAAGUCCUCCGUUAAAUCCAACUGCUUAACAGAUGGGCCGCGGAGGAUACUAUGGGGCUAGGAGGCAGGAGAGGCAAGCGGUACUCAGUGGGUAGGGGUAAAAUCCG
rnacentral:rRNA from 1 species